rfam:Clostridium puniceum strain DSM 2619 CLPTN_contig000049, whole genome shotgun sequence.
GCGUGAUUAGCUCAGUUGGUAGAGCACCUGACUCUUAAUCAGGGUGUCCAGGGUUCGAAUCCCUGAUGACGCA